AUUGAACGCUGGCGGCAGGCCUAACACAUGCAAGUCGAACGAGUGGCGGACGGGUGAGUAAUGUCUGGGAAACUGCCCGAUGGAGGGGGAUAACUACUGGAAACGGUAGCUAAUACCGCAUACCAACGGAUGUGCCCAGAUGGAAUUAGCUAGUAGGUAGGGUAAUGGCUCACCUAGGCGACGAUCCCUAGCUGGUCUGAGAGGAUGACCAGCCACACGGGAACGUGGACACGGUCCAGACUCCUACGGGAGGCAGCAGUGGGGAAUAUUGCACAAUGGGCGCAAGCCUGAUGCAGCCAUGCCGCGUGUAUGAAGAAGGCCUUCGGGUUGUAAAGUACUUUCAGCGGGGAGGCGUUACCCGCAGAAGAAGCACCGGCGAACUCCGUGCCAGCAGCCGCGGUAAUAC
rnacentral:rRNA from 1 species